UACGUAGGGGGCAAGCGUUGUCCGGAUUUAUUGGGCGUAAAGAGCGUGUAGGCGGCCAGGUAGGUCUGCUGUGAAAACUCGAGGCUCAACCUCGAGACGUCGGCGGAAACCAUCUGGCUAGAGUCCGGAAGAGGAGACUGGAAUUUACGGUGUAGCGGUGAAAUGCGUAGAUAUCGUAAGGAAGACCAGUGGCGAAGGCGGGUCUCUGGACAGUUCCUGACGCUGAGGCACGAAGGUCAGGGGAGCAAACGGG
rnacentral:rRNA from 1 species